rnacentral:rRNA from 1 species
CGAUUGGACAAGUCUGACGCAGCAACGCCGCGUGGGGGAUGAAGCUUCUCGGAGUGUAAACCCCUUUCGACCCGGACGAAUGCCCGCAAGGGUUUGACGGUACGGGUAUAAGAAGCCCCGGCUAACUACGUGCCAGCAGCCGCGGUAAAACGUAGGGGGCCAGCGUUGCUCGGAAUUACUGGGCGUAAAGGGUCCGUAGGCGGUGUGGCAAGUCGGAAGUGAAAUCUCUGGGCUUAACCCAGAGGCUGCUCCCGAAACUGCCGUGCUAGAGGGUGAGAGAGGCAAGUGGAAUUGCGGGUGUAGCGGUGAAAUGCGUAGAUAUCCGCAGGAACAUCCGAGGCGAAAGCGGCUUGCUGGAUCACUUCUGACGCUGAGGGACGAAAGCUAGGGGAGCGAACAGGAUUAGAUACCCUGGUAGUCCUAGCCCUAAACCAUCAGGACUUGGGGUUUGCCCUGUACGGGGCAAGUCCCGUAGCUAACGCGUUAAGUCCUGCGCCUGGGGAGUACGGUCGCAAGGCUGAAACUCAAAAAAAUUGACGGA